GAUGAACGCUGGCGGCGUGCUUAACACAUGCAAGUCGAACGGUGAACGAGGGAGCUUGCUCCCUCCGGAUCAGUGGCGAACGGGUGAGUAACACGUGAGCAAUCUGCCCUGGACUCUGGGAUAAGCGUUGGAAACGACGUCUAAUACCGGAUACGAGGCGUGGGGGCAUCCCCAACGCCUGGAAAGAACUUCGGUCCAGGAUGAGCUCGCGGCCUAUCAGGUAGUUGGUGAGGUAAUGGCUCACCAAGCCUACGACGGGUAGCCGGCCUGGGAGGGUGCCCGGCCACACUGGGACUGAGACACGGCCCAGACUCCUACGGGAGGCAGCAGUGGGGAAUAUUGCACAAUGGGCGAAAGCCUGAUGCAGCAACGCCGCGUGAGGGACGACGGCCUUCGGGUUGUAAACCUCUUUUAGCAGGGAAGAAGCGAAAGUGACGGUACCUGCAGAAAAAGCACCGGCUAACUACGUGCCAGCCGCCGCGGUAACAC
rnacentral:rRNA from 1 species